CUUAAUUAGGGGUUACAAGAGACGGGUCUUAUGACACACGUGUCCCCCUUUGGGCUUUCAUCUCUUCCGCGACUUCGAUAUUGCUCUCUUGGGUUUGAAGGAGGAGCUUGGCUCUCUCGAUUGGGGCCACGAUCGUGUAGCCGACGCCUCCCAUCACGGCUCCGGCGAGUAGCCGUUCGUCCUCUCUAGAUUCUUCCAUCUCUCCUCCUGUCCUUUUCUAUACUCACCGCUCUCUGAAAGGUGUAACCUUUUUCACUUUUACACGACAACAAUGGCGGAUUGGGCUCCGAUUAUCGUCAGCGUCAUCCUCUUCGUGAUUCUCUCCUGGACUUCUCCUCUCACUGCCCCGAACCAACCGAGGAGUAGACUUCGGUAAUCUCAAAACCAACGGAAAAGCCAUAGCUGUUCACACUCUCAUCUUCUUCGCCAUUUACUCUAUUUUGAUCAUCGCCGCCAAUCUACACAUCUACAGCGGUUGUUUGUAUGAAUUAAAGCUUGUCUUUGGGAGCAGCAUUUAGUUCUCCGACGUCUCCCAUGAUCAAGCGUCCAAAGAGAAAAGUAACGUUUUCUCUUCUUCUAGGAUUAUCAGGAGAGAUCAUCAACCUGAGGUUGAGGCAAACUCUUGGGAUAUCUCAUCAACCUGAGGUUGAACAAGCUUCAAACAGCUAAGGUGAAAGCACAUAAGAUCAUUGAGAAAGCCCCACAGCUUCCUGAAGAUAUAAAGUGGCAUUUCAUUGGGAAUCUGCAGAGCAACAAAGUGAAGCCUUUGCUAACGGGAGUGCCUAACCUUGUGAUGGUGGAAAGUGUAGACGAUGAGAAGGUCUAAAGAUUCGAAACCCACAGGAAGAAGAGUCGAAAUGGAUUGGGGUGGAGCCAGUAAAAGGAGGUCUUGUUGUUAAAAUGGGAGAUUCGGUUCAAAAGUACAAUACACCGUGCGGUUUGGAGCAAGACGCACCACCGUGUCUCAGCCGCAAAUUUAUCCGGCCCUCCCAAGAACAUUCUGAUCAACCCGUUGACUGGCGACAAGGACCUCCUAUCUAUCGGCGUUUGGCAUGGGAAGAGUACCUUGUAGCCAACCCUAAACACUUUAACAAGACCUUGACUUUGUGCCGUUGCUGAAACAUAAAUUUAAAGAGUUUUGGUGUUGGUAUAGUAUAAACACUUUAACAACGCUAAACGUCUACUUUUGAUGUUGUCAUGUUGAAGAGUUUGUAUUGGUAUUGUAUUCAGCUCCACGUUUCGUUUGGUUAUUGAAUUUGUUUCACGAA